AAACACACCCUUCAAAGUCCUUGCUUCUUUCUCCUAGGGGGAGAGGCUGGAUCAGAGAGAUUACAGCGCAUCUAACAAUGUUCUUUCACCAGCCUUGGGAGGGACUGUAACACUAACAAUACCUCUCCCCCGUCCCCAGCGAGACAGGAUGAAGAGACUUUAACAGUCAGCAAAAUUUCCCUUCUCUCUGGGGAUUGAGGAUUCUGUAACACUCUUUUAUUCCUUUUUUCCCUCUCAGGGUGCCCCUUCUGCUUCUGACAGUCUUUGCAAUAAGGAACAAAAAAGCAGCAUCGACUGGUCUCCACAGCACCAUUUAUAAGCUGUGGGAGCUCUUAUUCCAGUUCUCUGGUCCAUCAGCGAGACCUUCAGCAGAAUCAGGGAAGACUUGAUAAUUCUAUCUCUAGUUAUGAAAACCAUGUUGACAGAACAUUUUCUUGCUUAUGCAUGCAAAGGGAAAGAAGAGGGGAUAAGAGCUGUGUCUUAUCACCUAAAACUACCCAGACACUGGAAACUUCACAUGACAAGUCAUCACUUAUACUGACAGAGAAAAAUGUUUUAAUUUUAGUUGUAUUGUGGGGUGGUGGUGAUUGUGGGCUUUUGUUUUGUUUUAUUUUCUUCCCCAACAUGAUUUUGACAUGUUUCAAUAUGAAUUGUAAAGUAUAUAGAAAAACCUUUUUGAGAUUGCUCUGCCAUCGUCUAUCUUCAGCAUUCCAUACUCUUUUUUAUUUAUUCUAUAGCAAUGUUUCCUAAAGGCUGGGCUAUACACAAACUUCCACUGAAAUAGCUACAUCAGUUGUAACUGAGACUUCUUGUUAUUUUGGUGCCAUCUUGUGAGUGGACAUUCUUAUUUUGGUAUCAGAGUGCCUGUAUUGAUUUAGCUUAUAUUGGUGUUUUACUGACUUCAGCUAAAUUGUAGUAGGACACUUUAAUUCUGAAAUACACAGACUUCCACCAAAACAACAAAUGUGUCAAUUACAAUGAUUGAGGCUAUGUCUACGCUACCGUUUAUGUUGGUAUGACUUAUAUCACAAGGGCAGGUGGGUAGUUAAGCCGACGGGAGAGCUCUACACUAGAGAGCUUACGAUACAGCUGUGCCACUGUAACGUGUGUGGUGAAGAUGUUCUAUGCCGAUGGGCGAGAGCGCUCCUGUUGGCGUAAAAAAACCACCUCUGCGAGAGGCGGUAACUAUGUCGGCAAGAGAAACUCUCCCGCCAACGUAGCGCUGUUCACACUGGUGCUUAGAUUGGUGUAACAUAUGUCGC